CAUGCAAGUCGAGCGAACUUUUGGGAGCUUGCUCCCAAAAGUUAGCGGCGGACGGGUGAGUAACACGUGGGCAACCUGCCUAUAAGACUGGGAUAACUUCGGGAAACCGGAGCUAAUACCGGAUAACAUAUGAGACCACAUGGUCUUGUGUUAAAAGAUGGCUUUUAGCUAUCACUUAUAGAUGGGCCCGCGGCGCAUUAGCUAGUUGGUGAGGUAAUGGCUCACCAAGGCGACGAUGCGUAGCCGACCUGAGAGGGUGAUCGGCCACACUGGGACUGAGACACGGCCCAGACUCCUACGGGAGGCAGCAGUAGGGAAUCUUCCGCAAUGGACGAAAGUCUGACGGAGCAACGCCGCGUGAGCGAAGAAGGCCUUCGGGUCGUAAAGCUCUGUUGUUAGGGAAGAACAAGUAUCGUUCGAAUAGGGCGGUACCUUGACGGUACCUAACCAGAAAGCCACGGCUAACUACGUGCCAGCAGCCGCGGUAAUACGUAGGUGGCAAGCGUUAUCCGGAAUUAUUGGGCGUAAAGCGCGCGCAGGCGGUCCUUUAAGUCUGAUGUGAAAGCCCACGGCUCAACCGUGGAGGGUCAUUGGAAACUGGGGGACUUGAGUGCAGAAGAGGAGAGCGGAAUUCCACGUGUAGCGGUGAAAUGCGUAGAGAUGUGGAGGAACACCAGUGGCGAAGGCGGCUCUCUGGUCUGUAACUGACGCUGAGGCGCGAAAGCGUGGGGAGCGAACAGGAUUAGAUACCCUGGUAGUCCACGCCGUAAACGAUGAGUGCUAAGUGUUAGAGGGUUUCCGCCCUUUAGUGCUGCAGCAAACGCAUUAAGCACUCCGCCUGGGGAGUACGGUCGCAAGACUGAAACUCAAAGGAAUUGACGGGGGCCCGCACAAGCGGUGGAGCAUGUGGUUUAAUUCGAAGCAACGCGAAGAACCUUACCAGGUCUUGACAUCCUUAUGCCAACCCUAGAGAUAGGGCUUUCCCUUCGGGGACAUAAGUGACAGGUGGUGCAUGGUUGUCGUCAGCUCGUGUCGUGAGAUGUUGGGUUAAGUCCCGCAACGAGCGCAACCCUUGAUCUUAGUUGCCAGCAUUUAGUUGGGCACUCUAAGGUGACUGCCGGUGACAAACCGGAGGAAGGUGGGGAUGACGUCAAAUCAUCAUGCCCCUUAUGACCUGGGCUACACACGUGCUACAAUGGAUGGUACAAAGGGCAGCGAAACCGCGAGGUCAAGCCAAUCCCAUAAAACCAUUCUCAGUUCGGAUUGCAGGCUGCAACUCGCCUGCAUGAAGCCGGAAUCGCUAGUAAUCGUGGAUCAGCAUGCCACGGUGAAUACGUUCCCGGGCCUUGUACACACCGCCCGUCACACCACGAGAGUUUGUAACACCCGAAGUCGGUGGGGUAACCGCAAGGAG
rnacentral:rRNA from 1 species